UAGGGAAUAUUGGACAAUGGGGGCAACCCUGAUCCAGCCAUGCCGCGUGAGUGAAGAAGGCCCUCGGGUUGUAAAGCUCUUUUGUCCGGAAAGAAAAGCAUUCGGUGAAUACCCGGAUGUUCUGACGGUACCGUAAGAAGAAGCACCGGCUAACUACGUGCCAGCAGCCGCGGUAAUACGUAGGGUGCGAGCGUUAAUCGGAAUUACUGGGCGUAAAGCGUGCGCAGGCGGUUUUGUAAGACAGAUGUGAAAUCCCCGGGCUUAACCUGGGAACUGCGUUUGUGACUGCAAGGCUGGAGUACGGCAGAGGGGGGUGGAAUUCCACGUGUAGCAGUGAAAUGCGUAGAGAUGUGGAGGAACACCGAUGGCGAAGGCAGCCCCCUGGGCCUGUACUGACGCUCAUGCACGAAAGCGUGGGGAGCAAACA
rnacentral:rRNA from 1 species